GAUGAACGCUGGCGGCGUGCCUAAUACAUGCAAGUCGAGCGAACAGACGAGGAGCUUGCUCCUCUGACGUUAGCGGCGGACGGGUGAGUAACACGUGGAUAACCUACCUAUAAUACUGGGAUAACUUCGGGAAACCGGAGCUAAUACCGGAUAAUAUAUUGAACCGCAUGGUUCAAUAGUGAAAGACGGUUUUGCUGUCACUUAUAGAUGGAUCCGCGCCGCAUUAGCUAGUUGGUAAGGUAACGGCUUACCAAGGCAACGAUGCGUAGCCGACCUGAGAGGGUGAUCGGCCACCUUGGACCUGAGACACGGUCCAGCCUCCUACGGGAGGCAGCAGUAGGGAAUCUUCCGCAAUGGGAGAAAGCCUGACGGAGCAACGCCGCGUGAGUGAUGAAGGUCUUCGGAUCGUAAAACUCUGUUAUUAGGGAAGAACAAAUGUGUAAGUAACUCUGCACGUCUUGACGGUACCUAAUCAGAAAGCAACGGCUAACUACGUG
rnacentral:rRNA from 1 species